rnacentral:rRNA from 1 species
AGUCUGCAACUCGACUGCAUGAAGUCGGAAUCGCUAGUAAUCGCGGAUCAGCAUGCCGCGGUGAAUACGUUCCCGGGCCUUGUACACACCGCCCGUCACACCAUGAGAGUCGGGAACACCCGAAGUCCGUAGCCUAACCGCAAGGAGGACGCAGUCGAAGGUGGGAUUGAUGACUGGGGCGAAGUCGUAACAAGGUAGC